GACGAACGCUGGCGGCGCGCCUAACACAUGCAAGUCGAACGAGCGAGAGAGAGCUUGCUUUCUCAAGCGAGUGGCGAACGGGUGAGUAACGCGUGAGGAACCUGCCUCAAAGAGGGGGACAACAGUUGGAAACGACUGCUAAUACCGCAUAAGCCCACAGGUCGGCAUCGACCAGAGGGAAAAGGAGCAAUCCGCUUUGAGAUGGCCUCGCGUCCGAUUAGCUAGUUGGUGAGGUAACGGCCCACCAAGGCAACGAUCGGUAGCCGGACUGAGAGGUUUAACGGCCACAUUGGGACUGAGACACGGCCCAGACUCCUACGGGAGGCAGCAGUGGGGAAUAUUGCACAAUGGGGGAAACCCUGAUGCAGCGACGCCGCGUGGAGGAAGAAGGUCUUCGGAUUGUAAACUCCUGUUGUUGAGGAAGAUAAUGACGGUACUCAACAAGGAAGUGACGGCUAACUACGUG
rnacentral:rRNA from 1 species